AAGGCUUCAGCUUUCUUUGAGUUUUUUGCUUGCACUUUUUUCAAUGUGUUUGGAAAUGUUUAAUUGAAGCCUAGAUGUGUGUUCCCCUCGCUAUCCAUUGUUGCAAUUUUGAUGCCGCAUUUGGACGUCGGGGAACUAAAUCG
rfam:Glycine soja cultivar W05 scaffold36_93, whole genome shotgun sequence.